rnacentral:rRNA from 1 species
AUUGAACGCUGGCGGCAGGCUUAACACAUGCAAGUCGAGCGGGGUGAUGGUGCUUGCACUAUCACUUAGCGGCGGACGGGUGAGUAAUGCUUAGGAAUCUGCCUAUUAGUGGGGGACAACAUCUCGAAAGGGAUGCUAAUACCGCAUACGCCCUACGGGAGAAAGCAGGGGAUCACUUGUGACCUUGCGCUUAUAGAUGAGCCUAAGUCGGAUUAGCUAGUUGGUGGGGAAAAGGCCUACCAAGGCCACGAUCUGUAGCGGGUCUGAGAGGAUGAUCCGCCACACUGGGACUGAGACACGGCCCAGACUCCUACGGGAGGAAGCAGUGGGGAAUAUUGGACAAUGGGGGGAACCCUGAUCCAGCCAUGCCGCGUGUGUGAAGAAGGCCUUAUGGUUGUAAAGCACUUUAAGCGAGGAGGAGGCUCUUUUGGUUAAUACCCAAGAUGAGUGGACGUUACUAGCAGAAUAAGCACCGGCUAACUCUGUGCAGCCGCCGCGGUAA